ensembl:ncRNA ZK377.13 ncRNA
CCCUAGUCAAUGGGAGGGCGAGGAGAGGUAACUAGCGCGCUCGAAUGCGCAGAGUUGAACACAUGCAAGGACGGUGGCAGAAUCGCUCGAUAAGUGACCCUUGGUGGUGUUCC